AUGAACAAAGCUAGUGGAGGUGAUGGAAUUCCAGUUGAGCUGUUUCAGAUCCUGAAAGAUGAUGGUAUGAAAGUGCUGCACUCAAUAUGCCAGCAAAUUUGGAAAACUCAGCAGUGGCCACAGGACUGGAAAGGGUCAGUUUUCAUUCCAAUCACAAAGAAAGGCAAUGCCAAAGAAUGCUCAAACUACCACGCAAUUGCACUCAUCUCACACGCUAGUAAACUAAUGCUCAAAAUUCUCCAAGCCAGGCUUCAGCAAUACGUGAACCGUGAACUUCCAGAUGUUCAAGCUGGUUUUAGAAAAGGCAGAGGAACCAGAGAUCAAAUUGCCAACAUCCACUGGAUCAUAGAAAAAGCAAAAGAGUUCCAGAAAAACAGCUACUUCUGCUUUAUUGACUAUGCCAAAGCCUUUGACUGUGUGGAUCACAAUAAACUGUGGAAAAUCCUGAAAGAGAUGGGAAUACUAGACUACCUGACCUGCCUCUUGAGAAAUCUGUAUGCAGGUCAGGAAGCAACAGUUAGAACUGGACAUGGAACAACAGACUGGUUCCAAAUAGGAAAAGGAGUAUGUGAAGGCUGUAUAUUGUCACCCUGCUUAUUUAACCUAUAUGCAGAGUACAUCAUGAGAAACGCUGGACUGGAAGAAGCACAAGCUGGAAUCAAGACUGCCAGGAGAAAUAUCAAUCACCUCAGAUAUGCAGAUGACACCAUCCUUAUGGCAGAAAGUGAAGAGGAACAAAAAGGCCUCUUGAUGAAGGUGAAAGAGGAGAGUGAAAAAGUUGGCUUAAAGCUCAAUAUUCAGAAAACGACGAUCAUGGCAUCUGGUCCCAUCACUUCAUGGGAAAUAGAUGGGGAAACAGUGGAAACAGUGUCAGACUUUAUUUUGGGGGGCUCCCAAAUCACUGCAGAUGGUGACUGCAGCCAUGAAAUUAAAAGACGCUUACUCAUUGGAAGAAAAGUUAUGACCAACCUAGAGAGCAUAUUCAAAAGCAGAGACGUUAUUUUGCCAACAAAGUUCUGUCUAGUCAAGGCUAUGGUUUUUCCAGUGGUCAUAUAUGGAUAUGAGAGUUGGACUGUGAAGAAAGCUGAGCACCAAAGAAUUGAUGCUUUUGAACUGUGGUGUUGGAAAAGACUCUUGAGAGUCCCUUGGACUGCAAGGAGAUCCAACCAGUCCAUCCUAAAGGAGAUCAGUCAUAGGUGUUCAUUGGAAGGACUGAUGCUGAAGCUGAAACUCCAAUACUUUGGCCACCUCAUGCGAAGAGUUGACUCAUUGGAAAAGACUCUGAUGCUGGGAAGGAUUGGGGGCAGGAGGAGAAGGGACGACAGAGGAUGA
rnacentral:lncRNA from 1 species